UCUUUGUCUCUUAAUAAGAAUCCUUACUUCAAACCUAAUUGCAAACCAAUUAUCUUCUUUAUUAAUUUAUUUAAUAACCUAUUCAAUGGCUAUAAAAUUCGUAUCAAAUAUCAAUAUUAUUGAUCUUUCAUAAUUAUAAUCACUUGUUUUAAUACUAGUGGUGAUUUCAAAACCACCUUUAAUUCAUCCAUGGAGAAUUCUUCCUCU
rnacentral:lncRNA from 1 species